UGUAGGUUGUUCUGGUUUAUGUCUGUGGUGCCUACGUGAUAGUUUAUUCUUUCUCUUUUCUCUCUUAAAGUGUCCUGGAUUAGACGAAAAUUCUGUGGUCACCCUAUGAUAAAAAGCAGCUGGAGCAGCAGAGGAAAACUAGGAGCAGCCGAUGUCGUGAUGGACAUUGAAUAUGAAGACAAGGAGGUCAUUGAAGACUUUAGCAGCAGAUGUUUGAGUUGUGGGAACAGAAACCAAGUUUUGAGAGCAGAAGCCCAGAUGGCGAAUGACUUCCCUGACGUCCACCUGAUGUCAGAGGCUCCCACAAGAAAGGAAUCAGGACAGGGGCACCUUUCCAUGUGGCAGAGUGGAGUGUCCCCAGAGAGGAGAGGAUGGACACCAGAUGGUGAUGCUUCCAGAAGAGUGUACAGCUAAGUAAACUUUGAAGGGAGAGGCCUUGUCUCACCUCCACCAUGUGGUACAAAGGGCAAAUUAACCAGGUAAAGUCUCCUCACCUGUCCUCUGACGCUACUAGGCUACUUUCUAGAAGCUUUCAUUAAAGGAGAGCUUGACUCUCUGUUGGAAUAGAGACUAUCUUUUGUCCUCUGGGUGAGGGAGUGAAGCCCAUCUGCAUCACCUGAUAAGAUGGACCCUUCCCGAGUGGAUGGGGAGGAAGGGUGGAUUACACACAGGAGAGCCUGGGGGGCCCACUCUUUGCAUACCCUGCUCGCAUCCAUCUCCUCGUGGGCACAAACUCACAACGGGGAAGGGAUCCAGAAGUACCUCCCCGACACUGCUGAAAGGACUCAUAGGUAAGUGUCAGGUUCUUUGAGGAGGACACUUCUAGCAACUUGUGCAUGUGCUGGGACGAGGCAGUGUUAGACACUUGCAGACCCAGGGGUAUUGAAAUGGGAGAGGGACCGGCUCUGAGUUUGCCUACCCCCCUGCAGCUCUGCUUGGGCUGCACACGCGGGUGGCUAAACCCUCUGCAUGUGGACAGAUUGGGGUCUCCCCACAUCACACAGCGGCUGCUCCAGAGCACCUCAUAGCAUAUUUCCGGCAAGGAGUCAACGCUUCCCGGCUGCCUUAUAAUUUGAAAACAAAUUGAUAUGCUAUAAUUUCAAAUGUCUGGAUUGUUUGUCCCUGACAGGAAAUGUCUGAAGGCAACCAGCCUGGUCCAGCUGGGGGAGGUUGUUCCCUGACAAAUGCUCUCUGCUCAUGUGAGGACCCGCUUGCAUCCUAAGUCCUUCCCCAUUUUAUGGCAGGAUGUAAAGUCUGCAUAGAGGAUUUUUUUUUUUUUUUAUGAUUCCUUUUCUUGACGCUUGAAUUCUGAAUUUCAUUUCUCCCUAGAGAGGCGCUGGAAUCAUCCAGCCAUCCUCCUCGUCAAAGUUAUGGGCAAUUUGACCUACCAUUUAGCCAUUUCCUGGAGCUGGUUGAGUGGUUCUUUGGGCCGUUUCUGCCUUGAAGACAACACACGGAGUGUUAUCGCCCAUGCAGAUGAGGACCCCAGACCGCUGGCUUGAGCCUCCUUGCCCUUGCGAACGUUAAUUCCACCUCUGCUGACUGCUGAAGCUUUCACCAAGUUCAUAGACCCUAAGUGCAGGCAGGGGCCCCUUCCUCUAAGCGACUGAUUUAGUUUCAAAAAGCUAGGGGUUGAAUAGGCAAAUCAGGGAGGGAACAAACCGUGAAGAGUAUCAUAUUACAGAGAAAUUCCCAGAAGCCUGAGUAGGUUCCCUGUAUCUCUUCUGAUUCCAUAUUGAUAGGGAAAAUGUAAGCCCACCCUAUAUGUAGUAUGCUCUUGUAAUAUUGCAAUUUAUAAUAAGAAAUAUAUAUUUUGUCUCCCUCCUGUUUCUGCCCCAGAGCUCCUAAAGACAUUGGAAUUUCUAAGUGAUAAGAGCCAUAAAGGUGAAAAGAGAGUCUUCUGUUCUUCAUAAGAAGCCCCUUUCAGUAACUUCUGAGUUUAUGUCAAUCAGGUGCUUUUGGGAAAUCCCAGGUGGGAGCUGGUUGCCAGGGGAAGGGAACCAACUUUGCAAUUAAAGGGUUGGACCUUUCAGCUCCACCCCGUGCCCCACCUCUGGGGAAGGAAGAGGAGAGAGGGGCUGGAGGGGAAUCAGUCAUCAAUGGCCAAUGGUUUAAUCAAUCAUGCCUAUGUAAUGACACUUCCAUAAAACCCCAAAAGGAUGGGGUUCAGAGAGCUUCCAGGUUGGUGAACACGUGGAGGAGUUGCAAGAGCUGUGCCUGGAGAGGGCGUGGAAGCUCCGCGCCCUUCCCACAUGCCUUGCCCGAUGCCUCCAUCUGGCUGUUCCUGAGUUAUAUUCUUUUAUAAUAAACUGGUAAUCUAGUAAGUAAACUGUUUGCCU
rnacentral:lncRNA from 1 species